GGAACUGAAGGGAAUGGAAAAGGAUAUACACAACAGAUUAAGUGCAAGAAAUUGGAAGUGGUCUGAUCCCUCUCGGACUUCCCGAAAACACUGCUAGCUACAGAAGGGUGACACCCGGCCUCCAGAACUGAGGCAGCUCUGGUCUUUCUUGUACACAAGUCACUAAAGCAGGAUGCCCUGAGGCAUGGUAUAUUGUUGAGACUGAGCAGAGGCUACAGCAAUGGAUGAAUGAACACCACACAACAAUCAACAUACAAAAGUGUUCCGUCCCAGUUGGAGAACACUUCAGCGGUCCAGGACAUCCAACCUCAGACCUUCGGAUGACCAUCCUCAAAGGCGGACUUCAGGACAGGCAACAAUGCAAAGUGGCUGAGCAGAGGCUGAUAGCCAAGUUCGGUAUGCAUGGGAAUGGCCUCAACCAGGACCUUGGGUUCAUGUCACACUACAGAUCACCCUACUGCACUACACACACACACACACACUCUCUCAUAGACUUAAACCCCUUUACACUCACACUCACACUCACACACAUACACGUACACACACUCUCUCUCAUAGACACUCAUACCCUACCCCCCACCACACACAAGUUUGUGGGGUGAAUUUAUACUUGCAAAAUUACAUUUUAUUUUGCUCAAUAAUUGCAUGAAUCCAUGUAAGAUUUUGUAAAUCUCAUUUUUAGAAGUAAAUCAGUUUCAACAUUGGGGCACAGACAGCCCCACACAUGGCACCUCACACCUUCAAUGCAUUAUCUGGAUCUACAUGGCACCUAUUGUUAAAGUUCACUUGAGAAUGGGAU